rnacentral:snoRNA from 1 species
GAGCCAUGAUGUAAAUCAAUUGUUCCUGAAGUAUAUGUUAAAACAUUUCAUGAAGGUUUCUACACUUGAACUGAGCUCU